GACGUAGGGCGCGAGCGUUGUCCGGAUUUAUUGGGCGUAAAGAGCUCGUAGGCGGCUUGUUGCGUCGUCCGUGAAAACCUGUGGCUUAACUACAGGCUUGCGGUCGAUACGGGCGGGCUGGAGUUCGGUAGGGGAGACUGGAAUUCCUGGUGUAGCGGUGAAAUGCGCAGAUAUCAGGAGGAACACCGGUGGCGAAGGCGGGUCUCUGGGCAUUACCUGACGCUGAGGAGCGAAAGUGUGGGGGAGCGAACAGG
rnacentral:rRNA from 1 species